rnacentral:rRNA from 1 species
UAGGGAAUCUUCCACAACGGGCGAAAGCCUGAUGGAGCAACGCCGCGUGUGUGAUGAAGGGUUUCGGCUCGUAAAACACUGUUGUAAGAGAAGAAUGACAUUGAGAGUAACUGUUCAAUGUGUGACGGUAUCUUACCAGAAAGGAACGGCUAAAUACGUGUCAG